CCACUCCGGGGUGUCCGGUCCGAGAUCCAGCUGGUGGAGUCCGGAGGGGAUGUGAAAAAGCCCGGAGACUCUCUCCGCCUCUCCUGCAAAGCCUCCGGGUUCACCUUCAGCAGCUACUACAUGAGCUGGGUCCGUCAGGCUCCCGGAAAGGGGCUGGAGUAUGUCUCUGAGAUUAGCACGGAUGGUAGCACCACACGCUAUGCAAACUCCAUUAAAGGCCGAUUCACCAUCUCCAGGGAUAAUUCCAAGAGUGAGCUGUAUCUGCAAAUGACCGGCCUGAAGCCCGAGGACACCGCUCGCUAUUACUGUGCAAGUGAUAUCCAUGGCGGCACCAGGCCCAGCUCAGCCUAUGGUGCAGGGAUCACUCAGUCAGGGACGGCUCUAGGCUGCACCCGGAGACACAAUCUGCAGCCCCCUGGGUCUGUGCAGUGA